rnacentral:misc_RNA from 1 species
CGCGCGAGGUGGUUGUUACGUAUGGUUGCCCAGAGGCCGGUUCUUGUGUUGCCUACCCCCUCAGGGGAAGCGCGGUCCACUUGAUGUAAGCCUCCGUCCGGCGCCCCCAGCGGGCGCCGGAGGACAGCGGAGCACCCCCCGCGUUCCACCGAGCCCUCGCCGGUCGCGUGGCCCGCGGGGACGUGCGAUGCUCUCGGACCCAGCGCACGCCGUGGGCGGGGANUCGCUCCCCGGCCCCAAAGAGAAGCUCCCAUGCAAUCGCAUGACGGCCGCCCCCGCCCCUCGACCGCCCCGGCGGUGCGAGGGCGGGCGGCGUCGCGUAGGAACGCUACCUGGUUGAUCCUGCCAGUAGUCAUAUGCUUGUCUCAAAGAUUAA